UCUGGCAGCCUCUCAUCAAAGGACGUGGUCUUGCUUUGGGUGAGGGUCUGCCUAGAGC
rnacentral:pre_miRNA from 1 species